rnacentral:rRNA from 1 species
CAGUAGCCGCGGGAAUACGGAGGGUGCAAGCGUUAAUCGGAAUUACUGGGCGUAAAGCGCACGCAGGCGGUCUGUCAAGUCAGAUGUGAAAUCCCCGGGCUUAACCUGGGAACUGCAUUUGAAACUGGCAGGCUAGAGUCUUGUAGAGGGGGGUAGAAUUCCAGGUGUAGCGGUGAAAUGCGUAGAGAUCUGGAGGAAUACCGAUGGCGAAGGCAGCCAUCUGGCCUAAUACUGACGCUGAGGUACGAAAGCAUGUGGAGCAAACAGGAUUAGAUACCCGCGUAGUCCCUGUCUCUUAUAC